rnacentral:lncRNA from 1 species
UUUGAUCAUGAUAUUGACAUAACAGGUAACACCAUGUAAACACUGAUACACGAAAACAAUUAGUAUAAGAAAGGUAGAAAACUGCUCAGAAAACAAUUAUCAUUCUAGUUUUCACUUUUUAUAAUAAGAGAUGUGUAUUUAAAAUGAAGUUUUGAAUGAAAACUAGUCGAACGUUGUUGUUGUUGUUAUUAUUAUUAUUAUUUUGAGAGUUGUGUGUGUGAGUUCCCUUUUUCCCAACAAUUAGUAUUAGACUUUGACCGGUAACUUUGUAGAAUGGACGGGAUGAGUCAGCUCUACUGGUUAGAGCCUUGGGGAUCAAUUGUUAUGCUUCCGGGUUCGACGCCAGCCGGAGGCGAACUGCUCUUUCAU